GGGUUGUGAGGUUAAGCGACUAAGCGUACACGGUGGAUGCCCUGGCAGUCAGAGGCGAUGAAGGACGUGCUAAUCUGCGAUAAGCGUCGGUAAGGUGAUAUGAACCGUUAUAACCGGCGAUUUCCGAAUGGGGAAACCCAGUGUGAUUCGUCACACUAUCAUUAACUGAAUCCAUAGGUUAAUGAGGCGAACCGGGGGAACUGAAACAUCUAAGUACCCCGAGGAAAAGAAAUCAACCGAGAUUCCCCCAGUAGCGGCGAGCGAACGGGGAGCAGCCCAGAGCCUGAAUCAGUGUGUGUGUUAGUGGAAGCGUCUGGAAAGGCGCGCGAUACAGGGUGACAGCCCCGUACACAAAAAUGCACAUGCUGUGAGCUCGAUGAGUAGGGCGGGACACGUGGUAUCCUGUCUGAAUAUGGGGGGACCAUCCUCCAAGGCUAAAUACUCCUGACUGACCGAUAGUGAACCAGUACCGUGAGGGAAAGGCGAAAAGAACCCCGGCGAGGGGAGUGAAAAAGAACCUGAAACCGUGUACGUACAAGCAGUGGGAGCACGCUUAGGCGUGUGACUGCGUACCUUUUGUAUAAUGGGUCAGCGACUUAUAUUCUGUAGCAAGGUUAACCGAAUAGGGGAGCCGAAGGGAAACCGAGUCUUAACUGGGCGUUAAGUUGCAGGGUAUAGACCCGAAACCCGGUGAUCUAGCCAUGGGCAGGUUGAAGGUUGGGUAACACUAACUGGAGGACCGAACCGACUAAUGUUGAAAAAUUAGCGGAUGACUUGUGGCUGGGGGUGAAAGGCCAAUCAAACCGGGAGAUAGCUGGUUCUCCCCGAAAGCUAUUUAGGUAGCGCCUCGUGAAUUCAUCUCCGGGGGUAGAGCACUGUUUCGGCAAGGGGGUCAUCCCGACUUACCAACCCGAUGCAAACUGCGAAUACCGGAGAAUGUUAUCACGGGAGACACACGGCGGGUGCUAACGUCCGUCGUGAAGAGGGAAACAACCCAGACCGCCAGCUAAGGUCCCAAAGUCAUGGUUAAGUGGGAAACGAUGUGGGAAGGCCCAGACAGCCAGGAUGUUGGCUUAGAAGCAGCCAUCAUUUAAAGAAAGCGUAAUAGCUCACUGGUCGAGUCGGCCUGCGCGGAAGAUGUAACGGGGCUAAACCAUGCACCGAAGCUGCGGCAGCGACGCUGAUGCGUUGUUGGGUAGGGGAGCGUUCUGUAAGCCUGCGAAGGUGUGCUGUGAGGCAUGCUGGAGGUAUCAGAAGUGCGAAUGCUGACAUAAGUAACGAUAAAGCGGGUGAAAAGCCCGCUCGCCGGAAGACCAAGGGUUCCUGUCCAACGUUAAUCGGGGCAGGGUGAGUCGACCCCUAAGGCGAGGCCGAAAGGCGUAGUCGAUGGGAAACAGGUUAAUAUUCCUGUACUUGGUGUUACUGCGAAGGGGGGACGGAGAAGGCUAUGUUGGCCGGGCGACGGUUGUCCCGGUUUAAGCGUGUAGGCUGGUUUUCCAGGCAAAUCCGGAAAAUCAAGGCUGAGGCGUGAUGACGAGGCACUACGGUGCUGAAGCAACAAAUGCCCUGCUUCCAGGAAAAGCCUCUAAGCAUCAGGUAACAUCAAAUCGUACCCCAAACCGACACAGGUGGUCAGGUAGAGAAUACCAAGGCGCUUGAGAGAACUCGGGUGAAGGAACUAGGCAAAAUGGUGCCGUAACUUCGGGAGAAGGCACGCUGAUAUGUAGGUGAAGCGACUUGCUCGUGGAGCUGAAAUCAGUCGAAGAUACCAGCUGGCUGCAACUGUUUAUUAAAAACACAGCACUGUGCAAACACGAAAGUGGACGUAUACGGUGUGACGCCUGCCCGGUGCCGGAAGGUUAAUUGAUGGGGUUAGCGCAAGCGAAGCUCUUGAUCGAAGCCCCGGUAAACGGCGGCCGUAACUAUAACGGUCCUAAGGUAGCGAAAUUCCUUGUCGGGUAAGUUCCGACCUGCACGAAUGGCGUAAUGAUGGCCAGGCUGUCUCCACCCGAGACUCAGUGAAAUUGAACUCGCUGUGAAGAUGCAGUGUACCCGCGGCAAGACGGAAAGACCCCGUGAACCUUUACUAUAGCUUGACACUGAACAUUGAGCCUUGAUGUGUAGGAUAGGUGGGAGGCUUUGAAGUGUGGACGCCAGUCUGCAUGGAGCCGACCUUGAAAUACCACCCUUUAAUGUUUGAUGUUCUAACGUGGACCCGUAAUCCGGGUUGCGGACAGUGUCUGGUGGGUAGUUUGACUGGGGCGGUCUCCUCCUAAAGAGUAACGGAGGAGCACGAAGGUUGGCUAAUCCUGGUCGGACAUCAGGAGGUUAGUGCAAUGGCAUAAGCCAGCUUGACUGCGAGCGUGACGGCGCGAGCAGGUGCGAAAGCAGGUCAUAGUGAUCCGGUGGUUCUGAAUGGAAGGGCCAUCGCUCAACGGAUAAAAGGUACUCCGGGGAUAACAGGCUGAUACCGCCCAAGAGUUCAUAUCGACGGCGGUGUUUGGCACCUCGAUGUCGGCUCAUCACAUCCUGGGGCUGAAGUAGGUCCCAAGGGUAUGGCUGUUCGCCAUUUAAAGUGGUACGCGAGCUGGGUUUAGAACGUCGUGAGACAGUUCGGUCCCUAUCUGCCGUGGGCGCUGGAGAAUUGAGGGGGGCUGCUCCUAGUACGAGAGGACCGGAGUGGACGCAUCACUGGUGUUCGGGUUGUCAUGCCAAUGGCACUGCCCGGUAGCUAAAUGCGGAAGAGAUAAGUGCUGAAAGCAUCUAAGCACGAAACUUGCCCCGAGAUGAGUUCUCCCUGACUCCUUGAGAGUCCUGAAGGAACGUUGAAGACGACGACGUUGAUAGGCCGGGUGUGUAAGCGCAGCGAUGCGUUGAGCUAACCGGUACUAAUGAACCGUGAGGCUUAACCUUACAACGCCGAAGGUGUUU
rnacentral:rRNA from 1 species